GUUCUUGUAGUUAAAUUAUUUUAACGAUGGUUUUUCAGACCAUAGUUCUUGGAGAGAGGCCGAGCAGGAAUA
rnacentral:tRNA from 1 species